CUGAUCUCACCCGGAUUCAACCCUUACCGCCGCUAUAUAUAUAUAAAGUUAUAAACAUAGAUUUUCUUUCUCGUGUAUACGUUUCCUAUACCGCCGCAUCUGCUUCAUCGCCAUCUCCAUCUGAUCAACUGGUGUCUCAGUGUGAAGAACCCAUAGAUCCUAAUGGGUGCGAAGACAGACAAAGGCAAGGUUUCAGAAUAACCAUCCAAGGUUCUAAUCAAGAGAAAACCAAAAACAUCCAAGGUUCGACGAUCACAAGGCAGAGGGUUUGGGUAUGGGCACCCAUUGCCAUCGGUCGUUGGUCUCCCUGUAGCCGAGGCAAAGAGGAGGAUAAAACAAUGCAGGCCAGAUGUCUACAUUGAGGUCCUUUCGGUAAAUGCGAUGCUAACUAUGGCUUACCACUCGAAUCGCGUUAGGCUCUUAGUGGACAGAUUCAACAAGGUGGUAGAAGAUCCUCACAUUGGAUAGGCUAGGCUCAUAUGCAGAGAACAUGCUUUUAUGAUAGCUUAGUCCUAGCGGUGUCCUGCGUCUGGCACAAUAUUUGUUAAUCGACUUUAGGUUAUGCAAAACUGAAGUUGCUUUGUUUUUGGAAA